AGGGGUACCUGCGGAAGGAUCAUUAAAGAGUAAGGGUGCUCAGCGCCCGACCUCCAACCCUUUGUUGUUAAAACUACCUUGUUGCUUUGGCGGGACCGCUCGGUCUCGAGCCGCUGGGGAUUCGUCCCAGGCGAGCGCCCGCCAGAGUUAAACCAAACUCUUGUUAUUAAACCGGUCGUCUGAGUUAAAAUUUUGAAUAAAUCAAAACUUUCAACAACGGAUCUCUUGGUUCUCGCAUCGAUGAAGAACGCAGCGAAAUGCGAUAAGUAAUGUGAAUUGCAGAAUUCAGUGAAUCAUCGAAUCUUUGAACGCACAUUGCGCCCCUUGGUAUUCCGAGGGGCAUGCCUGUUCGAGCGUCAUUACACCACUCAAGCUAUGCUUGGUAUUGGGUGCCGUCCUUAGUUGGGCGCGCCUUAAAGACCUCGGCGAGGCCUCACCGGCUUUAGGCGUAGUAGAAUUUAUUCGAACGUCUGUCAAAGGAGAGGACUUCUGCCGACUGAAACCUUUUAUUUUUCUAGGUUGACCUCGGAUCAGGUAGGGAUACCCGCUGAACUUAAGCAUA
rnacentral:misc_RNA from 1 species